CCUACGGGAGGCAGCAGUGAGGGAUAUUGGUCAAUGGGGGAAACCCUGAACCAGCAACGCCGCGUGAGGGAAGACGGUUUUCGGAUUGUAAACCUCUGUUCUCCGUGAAGAUAAUGACGGUAGCAGAGGAGGAAGCUCCGGCUAACUACGUGCCAGCAGCCGCGGUAAUACGUAGGGAGCAAGCGUUGUCCGGAUUUACUGGGCGUAAAGGGUGCGUAGGCGGGCCUGCAAGUCAGAAGUGAAAUCCAUGGGCUUAACCCGUGAACUGCUUUUGAAACUGUAGGGCUUGAGUGCAGUAGAGGCAGGCGGAAUGCCCGGUGUAGCGGUGAAAUGCGUAGAGAUCGGGAGGAACACCAGUGGCGAAGGCAGCCUACUGGGCUUUAACUGACGCUGAAGCACGAAAGCGUGGGUAGCAAACAGGAUUAGAUACCCCAGUAGUC
rnacentral:rRNA from 1 species